ensembl:lncRNA
CUACCUACUUCUAACAUAUUAUAAUUUACCGAGGCACCCAUAACAAAACCAAAGAAUGCUGCAGGAUUCUCCGGAUGUAGAAAUGAUAUUUUCACAUUUUUAUUUCCACUGAUCUCCUCUAGCAGUUUAACAUGAUUUAAAAACAUACCGUUAACCAGAGAUAUUGAAGCAGGGGGGAAGACAACAAAACAAAAUCCAUACAAAAUGGCGUCUACUCAUCAAGCACAACCAAAUCUACAGUCAUGUCUAGAUGGGAUACAGCUUGUGGAAUUGAAGUCCAAAGUAAUUUAACCUAAUUCUCCCAGCCUGCUACGUUAAUUCUUCCAACCUGCUUCGAAAACUACAUUUUGAUAAAAGCUGUAUCCCUUCUAGACCUAGGGGCUCUCAUUCGUUCCUACUUCCUCCCCUCCCGGGUGUACGUUUUGGGUUUUUGCCCUAGCGCAACACAGCCGAUUCAAAUGACCAACUCAUCAUCAAGCUUUGAUGAUUUGAAUCAGCUGUGUAGCUGGGCAAAAACCCAAAACGUACAGGAAGUAGGAAUGAAUGAGAACCCCUAGGUCAAGACAAUCACCACCUCCUCAUCGAUUCUUCUCGUUUUUAAAUAGGUUCAUAAAAAUACAAUAUUUUAAUGGAGGAUCUAGAACAGGGGUCUCCAACCCUGGUUCUGGAGAUACCCUCUCCAACCCUGGUUCUGGAGAUACCCUCUCCAACCCUGGUCCUGGAGAGACCCUCCUGUAGGUUUUAACUCCAACCCUGGUCCUGGAGAGAGACCCUCCUGUAGGUUUUAACUCCAACCCUGGUCCUGGAGAGAGACCCUCCUGUAGGUUUUAACUCCAACCCUGUUCCUGGAGAUACCCUCCUGUAGGUUUUAACUCCAACCCUGGUCCUGGAGAGAGACCCUCCUGUAGGUUUUAACUCCAACCCUGGUCCUGGAGAGAGACCCUCCUGUAGGUUUUAACUCCAACCCUGGUUCUGGAGAGACCCUCUCCAACCCUGUUCCUGGAGAGAGACCCUCCUGUAGGUUUUAACUCCAACCCUGGUCCUGGAGAGACCCUCUCCAACCCUGUUCCUGGAGAGAGACUCUCCUGUAGGUUUUCACUCCAACCCUGUUCCUGGAGAGAGACCCUCCUGUAGGUUUUAACUCCAUUAAUAUCAGGUAGAUCAGGGUUGGAGCAAAAACCUACAAGACAGUAGGACUCCAAGAACAGGGUUGGAGAACCCCAUAGAGAUAGAUAGAUGACUCAUCUUUGUAUCUGUGCCAAGAUAGGUGAGCAGGGCCAUUUUGAAGUAGUACGUUUUCUUCUUCACGAUUGGCUGAUUCCUCCUGAUGACCCGGUUGGACUCCAACUUAAUUUAUUUAACUACAUAAAAAUGGUGUAAGUCCUCAAUGGCGCUGUCCAUGUUAAAUGGCCUUUUGGCCACUAGAGGCCUCUAUCAUUCUCUAUGGAGAACCUUGAUGUAGACUAGAGACGAGAUGUUUCAUAGAGGUCAGACUCCGAGGUCAUGGUUAGAGAGUUCAGAGGGGGAUUUCUCCAAACAAAAAAUGUCACACAGACUUUACGCAACUAACUUGACGUCGUGUCGUAGUUUACCACUGGGCUACGUUUCUGUUAUUACACAUGAUCAAACAACAGCAUCAACCACAUGAUCAAACAACAGCAUCAACCACAUGAUCAAACAACAGCAUCAACCACAUGAUCAACCACAUGAUCAACCAACAGCAUCAACCACAUGAUCAACCACAUGAUCAACCACAUGAUCAACCAACAGCAUCAACCACAUGAUCAAACAACAGCAUCAACCACAUGAUCAAACAACAGCAUCAACCACAUGAUCAACCACAUGAUCAACCAACAG